UCCGCUGGCCGGGGCUCCCGAGCGGGGGGGGAGGGUGUCCUGUCGCCUUUGAGAACACGACGGGCGAGGCGAACCCGCGCGGAGAGAGCAGCCUCUGCGGCAGACCAGCCUCGGCUCGCCCGCCCGCCCGGCCGCCCGCGGGCCGCCGCUCGGCAUGCCCCGCUCGGCUCGCCUGGCGUUCCCCCUCAGGACGGUGUUCUGUGAAUAUUUGCCGCUUCAAUAACAGAUGGCUUUUAAGAGUUACCCAGAAUUUUUUGUAGAUUUCCCUGACUUCUAAUAACUAGAAGGAUUCAGAU